GACUCUGUCUACAUCACAGGACUCAUCAAGAGGUUCACCAGCAGCAUACAAACAAUCAGGGACUCCAUUCCUUCUGGUGAAAGCAGUGGAUCUCAGCAGCUGCCCACAAAGAAACGGAGGGGACUUGGACAUGAAGAGCAACAGCUGUUGGCUAGAGAGGUAUGUGAUACCAUACUGAGUCACGCAAAGGAGAGAUUUUCCUUCACCAAACACCUAAUCAGCUCCACCCUCCUGCAAGGAGACCUGUUCCAGCAGCACAGCCGAACAUUCCCUGAAGCAGCGCUGGAAACAACUGUGGAGGCCUACCCUCUACUGGACAAGGCAAAGCUCAAGACGGAACUGUCCCUCGUCUAUGACAAUGACCAGUUCAGGGCUUGCAGUGGUGCUGUUACUCUGCUCCAGUUCUUCCUUGACAAUAAUCUGCAGGAGACAUUCACAGAGACUGUCAGUCUUCUGAAGGUUCUUGUAACCACACCCAUGGCUACGGCUGAGGCAGAGAGGUGCUUUUCCACUCUGAAAAGGAUAAAGACUUUCUUGAGGAACAGCAUGACACAGGAUCGCCUGAAUGCUCUGGCUAUGCUGUCAAUUGAGAAAAAACUCAUUAGGAGCAUUCCUGA